CAACUAUAAACUAACCUCUUAUAUAUAAACGACGCGGCAAGCGGUUCACAACCCACUGUUUCUUGCAACUGCGUAACACCAUUGUUGCCUUGACAAUGCAAGUGAAGCAAGAGGCCAACAUGAGAGAAAAGCUAAGCCAGCAAAAGGAGAACAGCUCCUUCUUGGGAGGUGUGCUUCACUCUGUGUUCCUUUUCUGUCAUGAUUUUAUUCCUCUUGUUUCCUCCAGCUUCCCAGGCAAACACUCGGCAGCCACACCAAAAUCUUGUAGCCCUAGCAGUAAUUCUUACGUGUAGCAUUCUCCCAUCUUCCAGGGGACUCGCACAUGCUCCCAGAAUGCUGGAGAAAGUGUAUAUAUCCGGUGUCCAGUGGAACAAAGAAAAUGCGUCCUUGUCAUGUCCAUAGAGAGUGUAAGCAGCGAUCACACUUUGCAUACAUGGUGAUGAGAGCGUUUCUCACACUUAUGUUUCCAAAGUGCUCGCUCUCAAGUAUGUGCUUGCCGUUGAGCAAGAAAUCCGGACAGGGCAAGCUCCAAGGAUUGCGGCAUACGUGAAAGCAUCUGGCUCCAGCCCCUGCAAUCGCAUCUUCCAGUAAGUAUCAAGAGCCAUAUCAUCGCAGUCACCGAGAUAAAGCUCCCAUGUACCGAAAGGCCUCCUCUAGGCACCCGGACUUCGCGGAGAGAUGGAUCAGAGACGUGGCUACCACCACGUCUUUCUCAAAUCCAAGCUCCUCGGCUUUUCACUGGACCAUUCUCCCUUAUUCCACGUCCAAAAGUUUCGUGCAUGUCGCCAGGACGCUGGAGAGGGUGUAAGCGUCGCUUUUCUCACCAUCUCCUUGUAAACUUCCAGUGCCUCUUGGUACAUUGCGUUCUGGACGUAGCACUCGACGAGGAUGUCCAGGAGAAGGUGUUCCGCUGAUUGAUUCGAUCGAAAACCUGGCAGCCAUCCUCGUGCUCAACACCUCAUCUAUUUGGCUCGAAAGAAUGCAAGCCCUUGUGAACUCGCACCCGGAUAAGUGAGUGAAACGAAUGGCGGCAGUGAGCAGUCUGGCCGCGCUACAAUGCUGAUAAUGUCGAGUGAAGCCUCAAACAGCUCGUGUGCUUCUGCGAAGGCUGCCACCAUUGAUGUGCAAAGCAACGAACUUCACUCUUGGCGCUCUCGCAUUUUCCAAUUGACGUGAAGCUCAUCACCUUGUUUUCCCACUUAUCCUAAAGAAAGAGAUGAAAUUGUAAUAAAUCCCAACAUUGCUGAUGAAAGUCCCUGGCUUGCAUAGGAAUGUGCCUCCGAGAUGUAAAUGGAGCUAUUUUGUGCAUCAUAGCGAAGAAACCAUGUAUUCACAUAGUUUGAUAGGAAUCCAAACCGAAGAUUAUUUUUAUCUAAAUACCAUGCAAUUUGACCAAUGAUAUGGUAAUAAGGUCCUCCGGUUGGAUGAGGAUUCCUCUUCCCCAGAUGGGGCUUUGGAUGAUGUUGUUCCCAUUUUUCAUGCAAUUCGUCAUAUGAGCUCACAUAAAGUGCAUUCAACGUUUUCAUUUCACCAGGAGAUAUUGGUUGCCACAUUCCAUUUUGCAAUGCACAAGCUAGCAAAUGGUCAGGCAUGCCUUUGAAACUGCGGUCAAGAGAUCUGACAGAUCUGAACGAGCUCCGUUGCAAAGGCAUUUCAUAAACAUGCUGUAAAAUCAGUGAAGCCACCUCUAACACUUGUGUAAGUGCGCUUUGAAGGCAUAUUUCCUGGACAGCAUGCACAGUGUGCUGAUUAAAAGCAGGGAUCCCAAUGGUGUUGUCUGGAUCCAAGAUCAGCAACGUUUGUUGCUUCAAUUGGUCAAAGUCUACCCACCUGACCAUGCUUUUUGGAAAGGUUUUUGCGGAGUCUCUUUUAUGCGUUGAUCGAUUCAUAUCCGGAGCAAUAUCAACAUGAGGCAAUCUUCCCAAAACGAUCUCUCGAAUUGUUUUUUGCUCAGAUAGUGGCCAUCUCUGAAGAAGCGGAGCCCAAUCCAUCGAGCGGCACAAAGAAAACAGAUCAAGAGCAAUCGGUUCUUGGCAUCUUUGGUAAACGAGCACUGGCCUGAUCGCUCACAGCUCCUGGCAUCUUUGGCGGCGCUAGAUACUCCCAGAACGCAUCCGAUGAAGAACUCAAGCCUUCCAAUGGAUCACCGGCAUCAGAUGUCCCCUUUCCGGCUAUUGCAACCAAAUCCGAGCUCCUGCGCGGGCAAGAUUGAUUGAGGAACCUCAAAUCCGAGCUACUCUGCGUGCAAGAUUGAUCGGUCCUUCACUGCUUACGCUCUAGCCAGAGCAACCAGACACAAAGAUUGUUCCUUUAGAGCAACCCGGCUGCCAUGAGCCACCGCGCGUUCGCCGGGAACAAAGAUUGCUUCUUUAGUGUUGCUGUUGCUCCAGGAAGAAGCCCCGACAUAAGCUCACCACAUCUCGAUCUCCCGCUCAGGGUCAGGAUCCCGGAGGCCUUAAGGCGCUUCCUUGUGCUAGCCACAAGCUUAUGCUGGAUCCCGAAGGCCUUAAGGCGCUUCCUUUUGCUAGCUACAAGCUUGAGCAGGAUCCGGAGGCAAGGAUCUUCCUUGUGCUAGCUACAAGCUCGCGUUUCCUUGCUGAUCAAGCGAGCCAAGCAUACAUUGCAUCAACGCAACGGAAACAGAGCACUUUAGCAUACAUUUUUAUCCGCGCAGCAGAGAGACACCUCUGUAUCUUGUCAAGCCGCGAACACCGUCAUUUCCAGUAGAACGCGCGCCCGAGAGAGUGAAAACUGCCCCAAAAUCCCGGGGAAGAGCGAUGAAGUUUCAAGUUUUGUUGGAGUGUUUUUGUUUUAAUCGGGGCCGUCUGAUCCUGGCGAUCCGACGGCUGUGAGGCUUUCCGAUGGGAGCUCCUAGGGCUUGUGAAUGAAACACCCGCUCGCCCUCAAUCCAUCUCCGUGUUUCUCCUACUUGUGCCAGAUCGCGAUGCAAAUCCACCUCGUUUUUAACUUCCAGGAGGGCGAGAGGCAGAGACAGCUGCCAGUUUUCAACGCUGGAGAGGUCGCUCACCCUCAUUCUCAAGAGUGGUGCCAAGGGCCUCCUCCGGAUUUAUGGAAGAGAUGCCCGAUCGAAAGCAGGGAAUGUUCUUUCCCAGUAAGGUGUGAGCUUCUUUUAUUUUCUCUUGUAACGCUCUUGUGUGGAUCGCUGUACAAUGACCGCUGUAUCAUACUGGCGAUGGCGAUCUUCGCGAUCUUCAUCAGGCCAAGAGCGUCUUUGAUCGAAUGCCCGAGUGGAACACUAUCUCCUCUGGGAUCCAGCGGAGAAGUCGAGGCCUGCAGAGGAGAUGUUUGAGCUGCGAGCCAGAGGAGAGCUCCGGGACGUCGUGACUUGGAACUCGAUGAUCGCGUCCAAGCGGAAGUCUUCUUCACGACGAACUGGAGCGCUUGCUUGAUCUUCGCUCGGAUGCGGACUUGAGUUGCUGCUCAUCUGACAUGCCGCAGCUUGGAAGAUGCUCGCAAGUCCUUCGAGAAGAGCUCUGCCACCACUAGUGUCAGAUCCUGGACUGCCUUGAUUGGAGCGUUCGUGGCAAACGACUCAAGCCGGUUGAGAGCUUCCACAAGAUGGUGCCAGAAGGCGUCCACUUCGACAAGGUGGCGGUGCUGAGCGGCCUGGAAGCCUGCUCUGGAGCCAGCAGAGGAGAGCUGCUCCAUUGCUAUGCGGUUGAGAGAGGCUGGCAAACGGACGUCUUGGUCGGGACCGCGGCGCUCAACAUGCAUGUCAAGUGUGGGAGAUUCGAGCAGUCGAAGCUCGUCUUCGAUGCCUUGCCGGAGAAGAGCCUCGUGUCCUGGUGUCGAGCUAUGACGGGAGCGGACGGCGCUGAGCAUGGACUUGGCCGGCCUGGGAAUGGACGGUGUCGCUCUGCCUUGCAUCUUCGACGUGCGCGCGGCCUGCACAGCUCUCUCGGACGGCAGCGCUGUCUACUCGAGCGUCGAGGCGAGCGGCGAGAAGCUCGAUGUCACUGCUGGAGCAGCCGCCAUCAACAUGUAUGGAAAAUGCGGAGAUGUGUCGAGCGCGGCGGAGAUCUUCUCCCAGUACCGGGCCUGGGAGUGGAGUUUGGUGCUCUCCACGACCAUGGUGGCGGCCUUUGCUCGAAACGGACAUGGCCGACGAGCUCACGAGCUGUUGGAGUUGAUUGAGAGUAGAACUGGACGUUGUCAGCUUCACCACCAUUCUUGCUGCGUGUAGCGCUGCCGGGCUGCUCCACGAUGGCCACGGGUACUUUGUUUCCCAACUUUGUUACGGCAAGGAGUGCUGAUGCAUGUGAAUUUUGCGUGAUGACUUCCGUGGGCGAAUCUGGCAAGGGGUUCUCGGCAACAUCCGCUGGGAAGUUCCGUCGAUGAACUUCUCGCAGAGCGUGGGCCGAGAGCCGCCAUAAUAGCUCCACAAAUCUAGAGAAGGAAAAACCAAAAAAAUUCAAUCAUAGGAAGCACGGAGGCAAAACAAGACCCACCUCUGACCACAGCAUGUAGCUAGCGAGGAAACCCGAGAGCUACUCCGAGGUAAAGCCCCUUGAGCCUCUAGCUCGUUGAUAAGACGCUGGACAAUCUGCAAAGAAAGAAAUUUCCAUCCCUUUGAGGACUCUCACACGAAACGGAAACACAGCGAAAGCAUGCGUAUCACUGUACUUUCCGGAAGUCGCAAGAGUGUGCCGCGUCGAAAAUUGGCCAGACACCGGCGAAAUCCUGCGAGAUCGAGAGCGCCUCAACUCAACCUACAUUCUCGCCUUCUUCCUCACCUUGGCGGCGAGGAGAAAAUGUAGCAGGGCUUGGAAUGCGCGCCUUGCCCUAGAAUGCUGGCAUCCCGUAGCUUCCAUCUCCGUCUCCUUGUCGCGGAUCACAUCCUUCUUGCAGAGAAGACCGCCAACAUCCAUCACCGCUCAAAGCAAAACAUCAAGCAGCGUGUCCCUAGCAAAGACUCAGUGCAAAGCCAAAGAGUCCCUGGAUGAUGUGGCGAUUAAAAAAUGGUUGAAGGGAGGAAUGGUUGUUUAAUUCGGACCGUUUGAUCUAUGCGGUCCGACGGCUGUGAGGCCGUUCUCUCUCCAGAACUGGAUCAGAUCUCUGGAGCUCCUAGGGUUCGUGGCUUUGUGUCGCAUGGCGGCUGCCUGUGCGAUCGAGGUGAAAAUUCUCUGGGGCGUGGAGAAUCCAGGCGCUCGUCAUUGCAUGGGAGAAUGUUUUCCGCCGAUUUCUCUACAGGAGGCCCCCCGUGGAGAUAUCCGAGAGCUUUCCCUCAUACAUUCCAAUCUCCAUUCCCAGCGCAUUCACCCAUUCUUUUGUGAAUCCAGUCUUUGACUCGUGUUUCUCCGCGGACGUCUUCGAGGAGGAGACUUACAAGCUCUACUUGCGCCAGAUCGCGAUGCAAAUCCACGAGCAGUUCCCCGAUUCGUCCUUCCUCGUCUUUAACUCCCCGGAGGGCGAGAGGAAGAGCCAGCUGACAGAGAUGUUAUCGCACUACGAUAUGACGGUGAUGGAUUAUCCACGCCGCUACGAGGGCUGCCCGAUUCUUCCCAUGGAGAUGAUCCAUCACUUCCUGCGAUCCAGCGAUAGUUGGCUCUCGCUCGAGGGGCAGCAAAACAUCGUCUGAUGCACUGCGAGAGGGGGGGAUGGCCGCUGCUGGCGUUCAUUCUCGCCAGCUUUCUCAUCUACAGGAAGAUGUACACGGGCGAAUUCAAGACGCUCGAUAUGCUCCACCGGGAGGCUCCAAAGGGAUUGAUGCAGCUGCUCACUCCUCUCAAUCCGAUGCCAUCGCAGCUGAGAUAUCUCUAGUACGUUGCUAGAAGGAACAACACUCCAGAGUGGCCACUCCCGGAUCGCUCGCUCAGCCUCGACUGCCUCAUUCUCAAAGUGGUGCCAGCUUUCGAUCCGGACGAGGGGCCGGAGUUAUGGAAGAGAUCCCCGAUUGAAAGCAGGGAACAGGACGACGAGGAUGCUUUUUGCCUUGGGAAAGAUGUCCGGCAUUAUUGACCGGUAAGGUGGUGAGCUUGUUUUCUUUCUCUUGCUUUGGUCAGUAACGCUCUUGUGUGUUCCAGACAGAUUGUGAUGUGAUGAAGAUCGAUGUACAGUGUGCUGUGCAAGAGCAAAUCCAACUCAAUGAAAUCUACCAAGAAAAACUAGUGAAUUCAACUCAAUGAAAUCUAGCAAGAACUACCUAUAGGGGCUUUCCACGCUAGAAUAGUAAUCUUCACUCUGGCCUUCCUCCACAUCCUCAGCGCCAUCUUCUUCCGAUGAUGAAUCCUCUGUGAUCCCGAUAGUUGACAUGACACAACUCAACUCAUCCUUCCAAGGAUUAUGCUCAAUUGAGACAAUGCCGCCCAAGGAGAAGCCCACGAUGCUAACUUUGGGUGGCAGAUCACCGUCCACAGAGAUCACAACAUCUGAUGCCUCAAAAGUUCCAUGAUAAGCACCGCACUGGUAGAUCUCUCGCAACACCCUUGUGGCAGGCUCUUUGAGAUGGGGAUAUGUUUGGGAAGGAAGAGUGUUAUCACCUUCGUCAGACAUGACAAUCACUGAGAACAUAUCCCUAUUGAGGACGCCAUACUCUAAGAGCUUGGGAACUCCACGACCCUGCAUGGAUUUGAGCCUGGAAUACAUGAGGAUCUCCCGAACAAACAACAUAGCAGCACCUAGUUUUGAACCUGGUUGAGAGAUGUCCACUAUUUUCACCACCACCUUCUCAGAUCCUCUGUACACAGCCCUUGCCACAUUUGGUGACAGCACCAUUCCCUGCCGAAAGUCCCUAUAAAACUCCCCAAACCUCCAACACUUCAACUUCUUGUGCACUUUGGCCAUGGAGAUGUAUGCCAACUCGCUUGCCAAGUGCUUCAUGUUGCGCUUGACAAACUUGUUGAAAUCCUUUGGCAGCAUCACAUGAUGAGGGGGAGGCACCAUUGUGAGCUCCUCGCAAUUGUCCUGAUCGUCUUGCCGAGGCAACUCAGUGGCAUUGACCACACUAGAGAAGAUAAUGUACCAGAAGUGCUUCAUUGGCACCUCAGAGAUCUUCAUCGGUUCAGCUAUAGCAAAGCCAUUGUAGCCACGCCUGACACAAAACCACAGAUGGCGUGCACCAAUAAUCACUGCAUAAUCUGUCUUCCACUGCUCACAGUAACAAUAAACCUCUCCACAGCUUCUCUAAAAGAAGAGCCAUGUUCCAGAUUUGUAGCAAUGUCUCGCACGCACAGCCCCUCAAGCUCCAAAUGAAUUACUCGCACGAGACAACCUCAAGGUUUCACGCUGCGAUCACUUCCUGUCAACAGUACAUUAACCUCGGGAACCAAGCCUACUCGACGGAUUGCCCCCGGCAGCCGCUGGAAGAGUUGGGAGCUGAGGAUUCUUGCCAUCGCACCUGGAGAAUCCACAGGAUGAACUUGUCGAUCCCGAUUGGGCACAAAAAAGACCUCUUCCGUAUCAUUGAUCUCUCUUGCAACAAAACGAUCGACUAGCUCGUGGAUGUUGUGCCAUACAUAAAGCUUGGAUGGGAAUAACUCCCGUCUGACUCCCCAAUCAGUGAAGGUGUCCACCUUCAUGUUGCUGCUGAUGAGCGGCCGCAUAAAUAGUCUACCAAGGAAAUUCUUGGCAUUCAACAAAGGCCCAUCUCCAUCAUUCCAUAGCAUAUUGCCUCUUUGAGGCUCUCAGAGCACUUGUAAAACUGCACGCGCAGCAAAGGAGCUUACCCUGUAUCGUGCUUCUUCUUCUGCCAUGCUCUAAACCCUUCUGCGUGAAAACCCUAACGUUCUGGGCAUGCUAGUAAAACAGCCUUGGAAACGUAUCAUUGAAUUUCUUUUCUUCAAAAAUCUUCUUCAUGUCAAUAAUCUAUCCGGAAGAAUGUACAAACAAAGACCCCCUUUCAAAAUCUCCGACUUAAAUGGUCACGCUAUCCUGCUUCGCCGGGGCGACAGUAGCCCAUCCAGCUCUCUUCUCAGCGGGAGAACCUUGUCUUUGUCGGCCUCCUUCUCAGCCUUCUUCCUUUCCAUCUCUGCUAGCUUGCUGUUCUCUUCCAAUGCACGCUUGAACAUCACGAUGAAAUUAAAAAUGAUCGACACCGCUGCGAACCAAAUCCAAGAGACGUUUGUAAAAUCCAGUGCAUAUAGACCAAAUGGUUAAGUACCUUGCUCAAAUGGACAGCGAGCGGGAUCUUCAUUGAAGUAGCGCGCCAAGGAAUCGGCAUUGUGGCCCUGCAAAGUGACAAUGCUUUCAACGAGCCAUACAUACAAACUUAACAUCUCUUACCACUUCAGAGUACAAAGACGCCAGUGUUCUCACCUCCGCCUCCGCUGUAUCAAGGAAACUCUUCAAGCUCUGUGCGUCCAUGGAAAACAUUAGGACAAUGCGCGCAAAGCAGGCAGACAUCACCUUCCGAAACCCAUCAGAGACGGCUCCAUCGUUUUCAGACGCUGUCAAUUCCUGCUCAACCUUUUCCAGGCCUUUGCUUACGGCUUGCAUUUCUUCUGCAAGAGCUUUCAAUUGAAUCUGUAACACAGGUCAGAAAACCAAGACACAAAUACUGGAGUAUGAAAUAUAAGAACCUUGGUGGCUGCCUCAAGGUGAGGCAAUUCCUUGUCGAAAUCAAGUAUUUCGGGCAUUUUCUCGGAUACAAUCUGCCACCAGUGUCACGUGUCAGCCAAGCCAAAACAGUUGCACCUAACUUACUUUACACAGAUAAUGUAAUAACGUAGUUCUAGAAUUACGAGCUCGAGUUUCUGUCAGCUUAAGUAGACUAUCGAGUCUGAAUCCAAUCGCCGCCCCUGGAACAACAGCCACACUUGUUACUUAGCUCAAGCUCCCGGGCACUCUUCUUACCUCUAGCAGUUCCUUGGUUUAACGCAUUUCCCAGGGACAGAACCGUUUGCAUCACUCUUUUAAGCUUAGGAGACUCUUUCACCUGCAAGAAUCCGGCUUCAGGCAACAUACAAGAAGAGUGCGAAAUUACCUCUGCUGAAGCUUCAUUGACUACUACCAGAUUUUCUCGUAAAUCUGACACCUGAUACCAUCGUUUGAAAGGGUAGACAAAAUAAUUUUGACCAAACCUGCGACGUGAACUGAAGUUUAAAAGAAAAAACCCUCAAUUUGGACUCUACCCGAGGAACUUUCAUCAUCUCCAGAAAAUACUGCAAAAGCAAACAUAUUGUCUAGUAAACGAUACUGUUUCGGACAAAGCGGGACAAACCUGCUCACAUUUGCCCAGGCAUUCUUUAUCGCCCGUGUAGUUCUGCAAAACCACCAGCGUGUAAGUUAGAUGGCAAGAUCAUAUCUGGAAAUAAAACCUUGAGCGUUUCCAUCUCCUCCUUUGUUGGACAAAACUUGAUCAGAUUAUCAACCUGAUCUACAUCCAGUACUGUCCCAUCCAACGCUAGUAUUGCUUUCUGAGUGCUCAAGUAAAAACCACAUAGCAUAAUGUAGAGAGCAACUUACAACAACUUCUGGCAGUGGCAUCUUCACUUUUGUCAGCAUUAUCUCGCAAUUGUACGCUCGUCUAUGUUCAAUCUGAAUAAAACAAAAGUGAGGCCUCCGCUUCUACUACAAAAGGCAGCUUACCAGGAGCACUUUUUCUUGCUUGGGAACUAGAGAUGCACGACGACCACCCGCUCUGUCACCACCCGCAGCAGCAUUCGGAACAGCGGCCGAGAAGAGGCUCUCUA
rnacentral:lncRNA from 1 species